rnacentral:rRNA from 1 species
CCUACGGGAGGCAGCAGUGGGGAAUAUUGGACAAUGGGCGAAAGCCUGAUCCAGCAAUUCCGCGUGUGUGAAGAAGGCCUUCGGGUUGUAAAGCACUUUAGUUGGGGAAGAAACAGCUUGGCCACACCAAGCCUUGACGGUACCCAAAGAAUAAGCACCGGCUAACUCUGUGCCAGCAGCCGCGGUAAUACAGAGGGUGCAAGCGUUAAUCGGAUUUACUGGGCGUAAAGGGUGCGUAGGUGGUUUUGUAAGUCGGAUGUGAAAGCCUGGGGCUCAACCUCAGAAUUGCACUCGAUACUGCAAGACUAGAGUUCGGUAGAGGGCGGCGGAAUUCCCGGGUGUAGCGAUGAAAUGCGUAGAUAUCGGGAGGAACAUCAAUGGCGAAGGCAGCCGCCUGGGCCUGAACUGACACUGAGGCACGAAAGCGUGGGUAGCAAACAGGAUUAGAUACCCUGGUAGUCCACGCUGUAAACGAUGAGAACUUGACGUUGGUUCGUUUUACGAAUCGGUGUCGCNGNACGCGAGUAGUUCGUCCGCCGUGGGAGGUACGGCCGGCGUAAGGUAGUAACGUUACGAAGUAAGUUAGACGGCGNGAGAGNGCCGACGGACGACGACGAGGGAGGAGG